GUUCUCCGGAAGAAGCCUGUCGGGGAAGCGGCGUUGCGUGAGGAGGUUUCGCCAGAAACCGCGCUUGCAGCCGAGGCCGGGACCGCAGAAAUGCAUUUACCAGCAAAGUGCAUGUCAACAGUACCGGAAAUUCAUAUUCCACUCCUGCAAGCAAAUACACAUAGUGGCAGGAGGAUGAGAACAUAUUUGCAGUUGUGCCCUGCUAAUGACCUUGCUGGAGAUUGCUCGUGCGAGGGAGGAACAGUCAUGGACUACACACUAGGAGCAGCCAAGUAGAUAUUCCACCCAAAGGGCUAUUGCCAAGAAGCUGCUUAAUUAUCGGGCACCAAAAGUAGCGGUCUCAUGUUUUGACAGGCAAGAAGCUGAAAUUUUAAGAAAAUUUAGGAAAUUCUUUUCUAUUAUUAUUAUUAUUAUUAU